AUGUCAGGCCAGGUGCAUCUCCAGGAAAAGGAAAUGCUAGAGAAGGAAAAAAGGCUGAAUUGGAUUCCUAGUGAAAUAGAGCCAUGGAGAAGGUUGCUCAAGUCUUCUCUGCUCUGUGUGAAGCUGGGUGUUAGUGAUGCUUUCAGCCAAAGGUCUGCAGGGGUCAGGAUGGAGACGUCUCCUGCAGGGGAGGAGAUUCUGAGGAAGACGGACAGGAAAAAAAAUACUUUGUGGAGAAAAAAUACAUUUUCGAAUUGGAAAAGUUUUUUAGGAGGACUGUGCUAGAUGGACAAAACUGUGUAUGCAAGAGAGAUGAUAGC
rnacentral:lncRNA from 1 species